rnacentral:rRNA from 1 species
CCUACGGGAGGCAGCAGUGGGGAAUCUUGGGCAAUGGGCGCAAGCCUGACCCAGCAACGCCGCGUGAAGGAAGAAGGCCUUCGGGUUGUAAACUUCUUUUCUCAGGGACGAAGAAAGUGACGGUACCUGAGGAAUAAGCCACGGAUAACUACGUGACAGCAGCCGCGGUACUACGUAGGUGGCAAGCGUUAUCCGGAUUUACUGGGUGUAAAGUGCGUGUAGGCGGGAAAGCAAGUCAGAUGUGAAAACCAUGGGCUAAACCUGUGGCCUGCAUUUGAAACUGUUUUGCUUGAGUACUGGAGAGGCAGACGGAAUUCCUAGUGUAGCGGUGAAAUGCGUAGAUAUUAGGAGGAACACCAGUGGCGAAGGCGGUCUGCUGGACAGCAACUGACGCUGAGGCGCGAAAGCGUGGGGAGCAAACAGGAUUAGAUACCCUUGUAGUC